CAGAGAGUCCAGUGUUUCAGGGCCCCUGCUGGUAAGAGGUCACUGUGGAGGAGAGGUAGGUAGGAGCUCUCACAGGAAAGCCAUCCUUUCAGGCAGUACCUCAGUCUGUACAUUUGCCUUUGGCUUUUUUACUUUGCAGAGAAUGUGUGCAGCCUCAGAGGGCUGGAGCCACCUGCCAAUUAGGUUUGAUGGUCUUCAUCUGUCCUUGUACGGCACACGGUGAUGGCAGCAGCCUCCGACCGGGGUCGGAGCCAGUGGCCCGAGAACCUCUCAGCUCAGGGGAGGCGACCGAGUCAGGGAUCACAGGACCCUCUGAGCCAGCCGGGCGUCCUUCCUUCGCAUCGAAGAUGGAUUCACAUCCCCAGCUGUGGGAAAGAUAAGUGGAGGACUCCCACCUGGAGAGGGGAUGGGAGCUGGGUCCAGUUUUAUGGUUAGGAGGGAGGGAUUUUCAGAUGAGCCCAGGGGAAAGGGUCUGCCCUAACAGGCCCUUGGCACACAUAGGAGGAGCAGUUUACUUUUCAUCAUGGAGUAGGAUGUGCAGGGCAGAGCAGUUCAGGUCUGUGUCAUGUCCUUUGUCCGGUCUGUGUUUCGUGUCUUACACUUCACAGUCACCACAUCUUUGGUUUCUGCCUUCAAAGGCCUUUCUGCCCUCAAAGUUCUUACCUGAGAUGCCAAGGCAUCAUUCCUAGGGUCUUGAACCUCUGCACUGCCCAGCCCAGUGCCCAUACCAUCUGUUCUUUGGAUCAUUAGCUUGGACCUGCAUCGGAAUCGCAUCUGAGAAGUGUCAGGUCAGGUGUCUUUUACAGCCUCCUCACAGGUUGUAUCGGUGGCUGUGCCGUGCAGUCAUCCCUUGUCAUCCCACCUGGGAUUUCUGAGAGUUUAAGAAGAUUCUGAACAUAGCCUUGUCUCCCAUCCA